UUACUGUUGAUUGUGACGAAAUGCCAGCUGAGGCACAUGCCUUGGGAGCUAAGUGGUUGCUGCCCUUGACCACUGUGAAGACUGGUGUGGGAAGGGUCGCUUUGGAUGCACUUGAGCAGGGGUCCCCAACCCCUGAGCCAUGGAGCCGCAAGGAGCCACACAGCAGGAGGUGGGACCAUCCAGUUGCAGGAAAACAAGCUUAACACGCCCACUAAUUCUACAUUAUGCUCCUACCUCCCGGCAGCCUCUCCAGGCCCAGAACUUUCUCCAGUCAGCCUCUACAGACCAAGCUCAUGACUCACAAUGGCCUAUUUAGGCCCAUACCCUACGUCACGGCAGCCUCCGCAGAUGAGGCUACUGCCUCACAACAGCCUCCACAGGCACAGCUCCAUCGUUACAAUGGCCUCUUUAGACCCAGCUCCUGCCUCCCAGCCUUCUCUCCAGGCCCUGAACUUUCUCAAGUCGACCUCACCAGGCCCAGCUCAUGCUUCUUUGCAGCCUCUCCAGGCCCAGCUCCUGCAUCUUGGUGGCCCCUCCAGGCCCAGCCUCUGCCUCCCGUCAGCCUCUACAGUCCCAACGUCUGCCUCACAGCAGAUUCUUCACGCCCAGCAUCUACCUCACUGUGGACCCCCCAAGCCAAGCUCCCAACCUUUCAGCAGCUUCUACACACCCAGCUCCUGCCACCCAGUGGCCUCUUUAGGCCAAGCUCAUGCUUCACAAGGGCCUUUCCAGGCCCAACUUUUGUCUCAUGGCAACCUUCCCUGGCCAGAUUCCUGCCUGUCUCCCAGCAGCCUAGACAGGCCCAGGUCUUGCCUCACACUGGCCUCUCUACAUCCAGCUUAUGCCUCACGGUGGCCUCUCCAGGCCCAACUCCUGUCCCAGGACGUCAUCUCCGGGCCCAAAACUUACUCAAGUUAGACUCUCUAGUCCCAACUGCUGCCUCCUGGUGGCCUAUGAAGGCCCAAAAUCUCCUCAAGUUGACCUGUCCAGGCCCAGCUCCUGCCUCCUGUCAGCGUCUACAGGCCCAACCUCUGCCUCAUGGGGGCUUCUCCAGGCCCACCUCUUCCUCUUGGCUGGGUCUACAGGCACAACUGCUGCCUCACAACAGCCUUUUUUGGCCCAGUUCCUGUCCAGCUCAUGGCGGCCAAUGUAGGCCCAAAACUUCCUCAAGUCAAACUCUCCAGGCCCACCUUCUGCUUCCCGGUGGCAUCAACAGGCCCAGCUUUGACUUGAGAACAGCCUCUGCAGGCCCUGCUCUUGCCUCCCAGGGGCUUUUUCCAGGCCCAGCUCUUGCCUCAUGGCAGCUGCCCCAGGCCAAAUUUCUGCCUGCCUGCCAGCAGCCUCAACAGGCACAGCUCCUCCCUCACAGUGGCCCAUUUAGGCCCAACUCAUGACUGUGAGGCCAUUUCCAGGCCUAGUGCCUGCCUCGUGGCUGACUCUUGAAGCCCAAAACUUCCUCAAAUCAGGCUUUUGCCCAACUUCUGUCUACUGUCGGACUCUACAGGUCAGCCUCUGCCUCACAGUGGACCCUCCAGACCCAGAUGGUGUCUCACUGUGGCAUCCUCAGGCGAAGCUCCUGCCUUUCGGCAGCCUCUCCAGGCCCAGCUCCUCCUGCCUCCCAGUGGCCUCUUUCGGCCCAGCCCAGCUCAUGCCUCCCGGCGGCCUUCCCAAGCCCCGCUUUUGACUUUCGGUGGCCUCUGCAGGCCUCGACAAGGCCCAGCCUCCUGCCUCCCGAAGGCCUGCACAGGCCCAGCCUCUGCCUCACAGCGGACUCUCCACGCCCAGCUAGCUGUUGCUUCACUGCGGCCUCCCGAGUCCAAAGCUCCUGCCUCUCGGCCGCUUCGGCAGGCCCAGCUCCCGCCUGCCAGUGGCCUCUUCAGGCCCAUGGGGCUCAUUCCUGACAACGGCCUUUCCAGGCCCAGUUUUUCCCUUCCGGCGGCCUCUCCGGGCCCAGAACCUCCUCAAGUCGGCCUCUCCAGACCCACUUGCACCCUCCGGGCGUUCUCUCCGGGCCCAGCUCUUCUUCCUGGUUGGGUCUCCAGGCCCGAUUCCUGCCUCUCAACAACCUCUUUGGACUCAGUGCCUACCCAUCUCCUGGCGGCCUUGGUCGGCCCACAGCUUCCUCAAGCCAAGCUCCCCAGGCCCAGGUCAGGCCUCACGGUGGCCUCUCCAGGAUGAGCUCCUGCCCUCCGAUGGCAUCUCCAGGCCCCAAAUGGUCUCCGGUCGGUGGGCUCCUCCACGCCAAGGUUGGGCCUCCCGGCGACCGCCGCAGGCCCAAGUUGUCCUGAAGUCGGGCUCUCCCGGCCCUGCCUCCCAGCAAGUAAGCAAGCUCUUUUGGCUCAACUCCUGCCCAGCUCCCAACCGCCUUUGUAGGCCCCGAACUUUCUCCAGCCAAGCUCUGAGGGCCCACCUCCUGCCUCCUGGUGGCCUGUACAGUUCUAGCACUGGUUGGAGAACAGCCUCUGCAGGCCCCUCCCUUGCCUCCCAGGGGCCUCUCCAGGCCCAGCUCUUGCCCCCACGGCGGCCUCCCGGGGCCAAGUCCCUGCCUGCCUCCCAGCAGCCCGCGUGCGGCCCAGCUCCUCCCUCACGGUGGCCUGUUGAUGCCCAACUCAUGCCUCUGGCACCCUGCCCAGAGGCGUGAGCCCCUGCCUCACACUGGCUCCUCCCACGCUGAGAGAGGUCAGUGUGAGCCCUUGCCUCACACCGGCCCCUCCCACGCGGACAGAGGUCAGCGUGAGCCCCUUGUCUCACACCGGCCCCUCCCACGCUGAGAGAGGUCAGUGUGAGCCCUUGCCUCACACCGGCCCCUCCCACGCGGACAGAGGUCAGCGUGACCCCCUGCCUCAACAGGCCACCGUGAGGGAGGAACAGGAUCGCACUCGGGCUGCUGGGAGGUAGGCAGGGACUUGGGCCUGGGAGGUCGCGGUGGGGCGAGAGCUGGGCCUGGAGACUCCCCUGGGAGGCAACAGCGGGGUCUGCAGACGCCCUUCUCCAGCCGGAGCUGGGACUGUUCAGUCACUGGGAGAAGGGAUGUGGGUCUGAAGAGCUUGGUUGCAGAAACUUCGGGGUCUACAAACGCAGGCGGGAGCUGAGCCAAAAGAGCUUGUUUGCUGGGAGGUGGGAGAUGCAGCCAGGAGGAACAGCUGGGCAAUGCGGGAGGCAGAGGCCAGGCCUCCUUAAGUUGGCCUCUCAGACCCACUUGCAGCCUCCCGGCGCCCCCUCCGGGCCCAGCUCUUCCUCCCGGCUGCAUCUCCAGGCCGGACUCUGGCCCGACUCCAGGUCCCAACAACGUCUUUGGACUCAGCUCCUGCCCAGCUCCCAGCGGCCCUGGUAGGCCCACAACUUCCCUAAGCCAAGCUCCCCAGGCCCAGCUCAGGCCUCGCGGUGGCCUCUCCAGGCUCAGCUCCUGGCCCUCCGAUGACAUCUGCAGGCCCCAAAUGGCCUCCGGUCGGUGGGCUCCUCUAGGCCCAGCUUGGGCCUCCCGGCGGCCUCCGCAGGCCCAAAUCGUCCCGAAGUCAGUCUCUCCAGGCUUAGCUCCAGCCUCCCGGCGGCCUCUGCAGGCCCAAGUCGUCCUCAAGUCGGCCUGGAAGUGGGCCUGGAAGAGCAGCAAGUCGGCCUCCCUGGGCCCAGCUCCGUCCUCUCGACGGCCUCUCCAGGUGCAAAACUUCCUCGAGUCAGCCUCUCCAGGCCCAGCUCCUCCUGCCUCCCAGUGGCCUCUUUCGGCCCAGCCCAGCUCAUGGCUCUCGGCGGCCUUCCCAGGCCCCGCUUUUGACUUUUGGCAGCCUCUUCAGGCGCAGAACUUGAUCUCCAGUCGGCCUUUGCAGGCCCGGCCUCCUGCCUCUCGAAGGCCUGCACGGGCCCGGCCUCGGCCUCGGCCUCACAGCAGACUCUCCACGCCCAGCUAGCUCUCGCCUCACUGCGGCCUCCCCAGUCCAAAGCUCCUGCCUUUCGGCCACUUCGGCAGGUCCAGCUCCUGCCUGCCAGUGGCCUCUUUAGGCCCAGCUCAUUCCUCACGUCGGCCAUUCCAGGCCCCGUUUUUCCCUUCCGGCAGCCUCUUGGCCUCUAAUUUGUUUAUCUUUUGUGUAUAAAUCCCAAAAUAUUGAAUUUUGGAAUAUUUCCACCAUUAUGUAAAUAUUUUGAUAGGUAAUUUAUUUGGAGUGAGUUUCUGCGCCAAGCCCGAAUUUUUUAUUUUAUUUUCCUUAUUAUUUGGUGUUAAACAGGUUUAAUGACGGUCAUGGCAACUUUUUGGCACAAUGAAAAAUAUCGCCCACGA
rnacentral:lncRNA from 1 species